UAGUAAUUAAUACCUGCUAGCUGUGACGUUACUGACAGAAGGAGCACCGGCUAACCUCGUGCCAGCAGCCGCGGUAAUAUAGGAGGUGCGAGCGUUAAUCGAAAUUACUGGGCGUAAAGCGUACGCGCGGCGGUUGUUAAUCGAGAUGUAAAGGCCCCGGGCUUAACCUGGAAACUGCAUUCGAACUGGCAACUAGAGCUGAUAGAGGGUGGUAGAAUUUCAGGGUAGCGUGAAUGCGUAGAGAUCUGAAGGAACCCGAUGGCGAAGCAGCCACCUGGGUCAUCAUGACGCUCAUGUACGAAAGCGGGGGAGCAAACAGGAUUAGAUACCCUGGUAGUCCACGCUGUAAACGAUGUCUACUAGGAGCUGGGGUCUUCGGACAACUUUUCCAAAGCUAACGCAUUAAGUAGACCGCCUGGGGAGUACGGCCGCAAGGUUAAAACUCAAAUGAAUUGACGGGGGCCCGCACAAGCGGUGGAGCAUGUGGUUUAAUUCGAUGCAACGCGAAGAACCUUACCUACACUUGACAUACAGAGAACUUACCAGAGAUGGUUUGGUGCCUUCGGGAACUCUGAUACAGGUGCUGCAUGGCUGUCGUCAGCUCGUGUUGUGAGAUGUUGGGUUAAGUCCCGCAACGAGCGCAACCCCUAUCCUUAGUUGCCAGCGAUUCGGUCGGGAACUCUAAGGAGACUGCCGGUGAUAAACCGGAGGAAGGUGGGGAGGACGUCAAGUCAUCAUGGCCCUUACGUGUAGGGCUAC
rnacentral:rRNA from 1 species